GAUGAAGAACGCAGCGAAAUGCGAUAAGUAAUGCGAAUUGCAGAAUUCCAGUGAGUCAUCGAAUCUUUGAACGCACAUUGCGCCCUUUGGUAUUCCGAAGGGCAUGCCUGUUCGAGCGUCAUUAUCACCCCUCAAGCCCUCGGCUUGGUGUUGGACGGUUUGGUGGAGGCCCCCUCGGGGGCUCCUGCCCCUCCCAAAGACAAUGACGGCGGCCUCGUUGGACCCCCGGUACACUGAGUUCUUCACGGGACACGUAUCGGACACAUGGGUUUACGGGACACGGUCUGCCUCCCCUCAGGGAGAAUCUUUCUAAGGUUGACCUCGGAUCAGGUAGGGAUACCCGCUGAACUUAAGCAUAUCAAUAAGCGGGGA
rnacentral:misc_RNA from 1 species